rnacentral:misc_RNA from 1 species
GAUGAAGAACGUAGCGAAAUGCGAUAAGUAAUGUGAAUUGCAGAAUUCAGUGAAUCAUCGAAUCUUUGAACGCACAUUGCGCCCCCUGGUAUUCCGGGGGGCAUGCCUGUCCGAGCGUCAUUACAACCCUCAAGCUCAGCUUGGUAUUGGGCCCCGCCGACCCGGCGGGCCCUAAAGUCAGUGGCGGUGCCGUCCGGCUCCGAGCGUAGUAAUUCUUCUCGCUCUGGAGGUCCGGUCGUGUGCUCGCCAGCAACCCCCAAUUUUUUCAGGUUGACCUCGGAUCAGGUAGGGAUACCCGCUGAACUUAAGCAUAUCAAUAAGCGGAGGA